rnacentral:lncRNA from 1 species
CUCCCCCCUCCGGGCCAGCUGAGAAGUUGCAACUGGUUGAGAUAUUUGUCCUUGGGGUUUGGGUUUUUUUAUUUUUAUUUCCUUUUAUUCCUUAAUACCGCAGCUCACAAAAACAUGACCUGAGGCUGCUCCUUUUCCAUGCGAUCUGAGCAGGGGUGCCUCGGCGCCAGUACAACUAAGCACAACAAAUCCCAGCGAGUGACAGCAAGAGGGAGGGGAGGCGGUGGUACACGGGCAGCGCCGCCGGUGCCGAGUCCGCAGGGGGCUCCCAGCCGCUGCCCGGGGCUUCGGUGUCGGGGCAAUGUACCAAAACCGGGGAGCAGCAGAUAGAGGAGGAGAAGGAGGGCUGGGCGCCAGCGGCUGCCCCGGAAUGGCAGGGGCACGGGAGCGCCCCGGGAGCUCCAAGCGGCGCCACCCGGUUGUCCACACCCCUCUCACACCAUGCCACAGCCGGCCAGCCAGCCCCAAUGUCCCGGUCCCAGCCCUCCGGGCUCCGGCGAGCAACCGCGUAGGCAACAGGAGCCCCGCAGCAGCGGCCCCGGCCCCGCUGCCAGGGGGAGUGGGGUACUGACAUUUCUGCCGCCACUUCAUUUCCAGGCCCUGGGAGAGUCCCCUAUAAAGGUCCCGGGGCGUGCGUGGCACAGUGAGACGUGGCAGUGCGGGGCUGCAGCCGGGGCGCGCAGGCAUCUCCGCAGCCAAUUCCCUGAACUGAAACUUUCAAAAUGAAGAGGAAGAUAAGAGUGAGAAUGAAGAAUGCCUUGGAGAAAUCCAGUCAUAAAGUUUGAGGAGUAGAAAUAAUAGGAAAUAUUAAUAACUCUGGUCUCUUACAUAGGUCAGAAUUCAGACUGAAAUGAUGUAAAGUUACAAACCUGAGACAUAAGGGCUAUUAAAUUUGAAUCAAGAUUCACAGAUUUUUAAAUUAAUACAUAAUAAAAAUAUUUGCUUCUUCUCCUCUACUUUGGAU